UCUUGACAAGACUCGAUUAUUCUGUGGGCUCUAUACACCAAGAUGCCUGAGGGGGAGAAACAUAAUUUAAACUACAGAACAGGUGUGAGGGUAAAUCUGGCCCCCGUUCCUCCAUCUUGGCUGGAAGUGGAAGUCCCGGUGGAUAUUUUUGAGCCCCUGAUGUAUGCCAGGCACUGCUGUAAGCACUGAGUAUUCAAAGAUGAACAAAAUGAUGUGGCCCCAGUCUCCUAAAAUUUACUAUCAAGAGAAGAAGACAACAGUGAAGCAUCUGUUGAAAUGGAGGUGCCACAGAUGGAAGCAACCAUGGCACGGAGGGCAGCUUCCCCAGAAAACUGCCCAGACUCACAGAGGUCUUUGUGGGAGGAAGGAAUAAACCUAUGUAAAGCUCCCGAGAUUUUUGCAUUGCUUAUUACUGCAGCAUCACUUGGUCUGCUCCAGCCAACGGCAGCAUCAAGAUGUGUUUGACUUGAGCAAACUUAACAUCUGAUUUUGAUAAAUAUCAGUCUGAAAAGAAAACAAUUCCUGCUUUUCAAUUUUUAAUUUUUUAAAAAACUGAAAUUAUCUUGCAUUUGCCUCCGUUUGACCCCUACUGGGAUGCUAGGUUGAAUUCUUUGUUGAUGAUUUAAAUUAAAAUCUCAUAACACUAGGAUGGAAAACAAUCAGAUAUCCCCCAGUGCCCUUUAUUACUGACCAGAUUGCCUUUAAAGCUGCUUUCUUUCUGGGCAUUCUCAGAGAAUCUGGAUAAAUGACUUAUCUCUCGCAUUUUCCUCAGGGUCUUGUUAUUCUUUUAAAACUUCUGUUAUAUACAGUGCUAGGUAAACACAGCAUAAUAUGUUGUUUUGGGUUAUGCUCAAACAGCGAAAUUGACGGUUCUCUAGUUAACUGGAUCCAAGCAAGAAGCCAAGCCCACUUAUUUGGAUAUCUUUAAAAGUAAAUUGUUGAUUACUACUCAUUUGUUCUUAAGGCAUUUGUGGUU